GCCAGGCGCGGUGGCUCACGCCUGUAAUCCCAGCACUUUAGGAGGCUGAGGUGGGCGGAUCACCUGAGGUCAGGAGUUCCAGACCUGCCUGGCCAACAUGGAGAAACCCCAUCUCUA
ensembl:misc_RNA Metazoa_SRP Metazoan signal recognition particle RNA